UCUCCACACACCUCCAAUGCACAGAUCCAGCUCUGUGGGUGGAGUGGGCCCCCGUGCACAAAUCUCCUUGCUCUCUCCCAUUGUACAGACAUAGGAGACCGAGGCUCGAAGGGAGCCUAUGGCCGACCGGGGGGGGGGGGGGAGGGAGGGUCGGAAACAAAGAACUUUGGGGAGAUUGAGACAGGUGCGGGGGGUAAGGGGGGAAUAAUCGUCGUCCUCCAGCCCCUCUCCCUUAGCUGGAUCUACGGCUCUCGUAGUGGGAGCCCAGAGGGAUCCCAGGUGGGUCCGGGACAGGGGAGAGGGCGGGGGUCCGGGCCACCCCCGGGAGGGUGGGGGGAGGGGCGGCGGGAUUGACAGUCGGUAAUUGGGUAACUGGAGGCGGCUUCUCCGGCCGGGCGGCCCCGCCACCGCGACGCCGGGGCCCUGACGUCACCCGAUUCGCCAGGAAAUGAACUUUUUAAUAAUCCGAGGAGGGAGGAAAGCCCUUGGUCCCCUCGGCUCGGGGGGCUCCCGGCCAGGCCCAGCUCCGCGGGAGCGCCCGUCACCCUCUCCCAGACCAGCUCUGGGCAGCGCCGGGGGGCGCAGGCACAGGCUAGGGGCCUCCUCCUGCCUUUGCGUCCGGCUGUCCGUUGAUCUGUCCGAGGGCCUGGCGGCAGGUAAAGACGCGGGGCUGGAGGCGCGGAGCCCCAUUUGGCUGGGAACCAGCGCGUCUUGGGCGCUUGGGGACCCGCCUGCCCUGGCGGCCCGCUGCGCCUCCCGCUCCGCUCCACUCCGGGGCGCGCGGAGCCCGCCUGGUCUACUCGGAACUCCGCUCCGCAUAAGAGGAGGCCGGCGCCAGCUGGGUAAAGCGCGCCGGGGCCGGGAGUGGGAGCGCGAGGCCGCGGGCGCCGGGCCUCUGCGGCCAGGCCGGGCAGGUGAUUGGCCUCAGUGCCUUCCGGUUCGCGCUACCCGAAACGCGCGCGGUCUGGCCGGGACUCGCUGCCUCUCUGUUCGUCUGUCUCUCCUCCCUGCCUUUAGUUUAUGAUUCUUCAUCAACGCGUAAAAUGCAAUCGUCGGAGCCUCGAGACUGUUUUUGCGUCCCUGGAACCUAGCAGGAGCUUAUCAAAGACACCGCCGCCCCAGGGACAAUCCCUGGUGUCAGGCAAGACUGCCCCACCAGCUCGAACCCCGGGACCCAGCUCAGGAGGCAGCCAGCCGCUUGCCAGACCCGGGGCCGUGAACGCCGUAGCCGAGCGGAAGAUUUCCGUGGGUCUGCGAUCCGCGCCUCGGCUCGCAGGGAGGUGGCUACUCUGGGCGCUCGGGAAAGCAGGGUUGUUGCUAAUGCGGGUGCUGCGUUUUGAUCGCACUGAGAAGCUGUCACUUUCCUUACAUGAGAACAAGACUUCAGGAAGGACUGGCGAUGGGCAGCAGAGAAACUGAAUGUUCCAACAGCCUUUUUCAAGUAGCCUGAGAUUCCCCGAGAAAGCAUGGGUCCUAAUGGCUCAAGAUGCUUUCUCCGGGGAGCUGGAGGCUCAGGGAUCCAAGGCCAGGUUCUAGUGGGCCUCACCCACCGGCCUCGGCUCUCAGCUGCCCCUGCCCGGUCUUCCCCUCCCCUCCAUGCCCUUUGUUUAAACUUCCCUCAUCCAAGGUGGCCCCUCUGGGACCAUAAGUUUGCCCUCUCUUUGUAACCUAAUUCUUCUCACCUUUUCCUAUGGGCAUCUAAUUGGCCAGCGGUGGAGGGGAGAUUCAAAGAAAUCAGUUUGCUUAAGGACUGCCUUCCAUAGGGAUAUUUAAUUGGCAACCCAGUGACCUUCGAGCCCCACACUGGGGAUGUGCCUUGAGGGGUACUGAGGAGGAAGAGGGGGCCUGCUUUAGCCAGAGGGGUUCAGAAGUCCCCAUAGGGUAAGGCCUCAAAUCUGCUCAGGCCUGCAGCCAUCCCCCCACCCAGGGGUUCUGCAAUGGAGGGACCAGGACUCCAACAGCCCCUUCUGCUCGCUGGGGUUCAUUUUCAGCCCCCCAAAUGUGAAGGCUUCUUCUCCUCUCUGGCCUCCAUGAUGGCUUUCCCACCCUUUACAUCUUUAGGGCCGUUUCGAAUCGUAAAACCCGGGCUGAGAAGUCUCAGCGCCCUGGGCUGAGGUGCCUGCGAGAUCAUGUAUCUCCUUAUCAGGUUCUAACCACCCACCUCCAAGCCGUACGGCCUCCCCCAUAGGCCCUGCUGAGACCUGCAGACAAUCGGUCAGCGUUUCUCCUUCCUUCAAGCACAGGCACGGUUUACUCAGAGAGCCUGGCGGUCCUGCGGCCCGGCAGCAUGACAACUGGUAAAUCCGUUUCGUUAGACGCAAUUUGUUUGCAAUUUGUCGACCCGGCUGGGAAACUCUCUCCAGACGCCUGGGUAGCCGCAACGGCCCUACCUGCUUCUCAAAUCCUGCCCACUCAUAAACGAAUCCCAGCGCUAGGUGCCUGUGUAGACCCGGAGCUCACCGCCAGAUGUUCCCGAUCCCCGGGAGACGUAGCUUUUUCCAAAACAACGAAUUUCCUUCCGUGUUUUCCGGGAAAGGAGCGGCCGCCACUCCCGGGGGCCCUGAACGCCGGAUCUUUCCCCUUGCGGUUGGGGCAACCUGGAGUUCAAGCCUGGCCGCCGCCGAAGGAUUCUGAAUGCCCGGCGUCCAGACAGACCCAGACCGCCGCCGUCUACGCCUCCCGGCGGCAGAUCUCGGAGCCCGCGGCGGCCCCAUUCUUAUUGAAAUCCCACUAAACAGAUUCCGGCUCCGGCUUGGGGCAGGGGGGAGACUUCCAGACCCGGCGCUCUCCCCCACCCGCACCCCAGCCACACAGGAUAAAGGGCCGCGGGGCGCAGCGCGCGGGGGCGCACGCAGGAGCGAGCCGGGUUAAGCCGCGCAAAGCCGGCGCACGGGACCAGCCGGCAGGUGCAGCCGCGGCUCGGCGGCCGGGCUUGGGCGCCUCCGCCGCCUUGGCCCGGAGGUGGGGGCGGCCGAGACAAAGACCCCAGCUCGGGGGCCGGGAGGUGGGGCGCUUUGCGAGGCAUCGGGAAUAACCGGGGCUCGCGGCCUAUGUGUGGCUGCAUCCGAGAAAUGGGAAAACAAGAGGCCCGACGCGGGCCUACUGUCCUCGACUCCGCAAAUACUCCCUCAGCAUCAGGCCCCUAUGACCUGGGGUUCGAGCCGCUGAUUAUCGGAGCCCUUUCAGAGCGCGCACAACAAAUGCGCCCGCCAUCGAAUGCAUCAUUUACCACCGCAGAUCCGCGCGCUGAUGGGCAGGCAGAUAGCCGUCCGCGGGGGGCACGCCGGGCGCCCUGUGCCCGCGCCGCCUGCCUGCUUGCCUGCCUGCCGGGGGCACCCGCGCGUGCGCCCCCGGGUGUGCCUGGCAUGUUUGCAUGGACAUUCGCGUGUGCCAGUGGAUGGGCACUGAACAAGAAAGGGUAUUGGUGUGCAUGCGGGCAUGUCAAAGAAGUGUGCUACAAGAAAGCGCAGGUGUGCAAGCCCAUGCUCACGGGCGUGGUGGGCGUGUGUGCUGUGAAUGCCUGGAGGGGGCCCAGCUGAGGCUGUUGGAGGGUGCACAGAGGAGGGGGUAUUGCACGUGAGUGCGUAGGCACGAGUGUCACUCAGGGUGGGACGGCAGGUGUGUGAAGGAGUGGGUGUGCAAAUCCGUGUGUACAGGUGUGGUGGAUGAGCGUAUUGAGUGCCACAGUGUACCUGCCCUCGAGGAGGCCGUUGAGGAGUGCACACAGGAGGCGGUGUCAUCUGCCACUAGGUCGCGUGCCUAUGUGUAUAUUCAGACACGGGUGUGUGCCUGCAGGUGUCCGACCCUACUCAGUGCCCUGGGUUCCUACGUGCCUGUAAGCAUGCGCAUCCCUGCAUUCCUGUGACUGUCAGGAGUGAGUGUGCCGCGGGUCAGAGUUCACCCCAGUGUGUGCCUUCGGGGUGCACGGAUCUGUGUGAGGGCGGUUGUGUUGUUGUGCAUCUAUAUGCCUGGGUGUGCCCGGGUGUGCCGUAGGAGGGGCCGGGGGAAGGGCGGUCGUUGGGGCCUGUCCCUGCGCCUGCCUGGGUAGGCUCAGGACACACGGGCCGGGACCCCUCUCCAGCGUGGGAGACAGCCAGAGGGGAGAGAAUGGUGUGUGCGGGUGCGACAGACUCCACAGCAAAAGGGGUGGAAUGUGCUAGUGACAGAAAACGGGGUGUGGGGGCGUGUAAGGGAGAAAGGUCUUCGAGGAGUUUGGGGACACCCAGGGGUCCCAAUAGCUUCAACAGGCAUGCCCUGCCGGGGGCCCCAGAGCUCCCCGCUCCGGACCUAGGGAAAGAGAGACCCGAGCCCCGCCGCCUGAGGUCCCCGCGCAGUGAGUGACACGCGCCGCCGACAAAGGCUGUAUUUUUCCAGGCUCGCGCCCCGCCCGCGCGCGCGCGAUGGUCCCCAUGGCGACGCAGAUAGCGCCGCAGCCAUUUUCCCUAUCUCCCCGGAGUCUAUUAUACGGCGGGAUUAGCUCAUCUCCAGGCAGGUCAAACCCAAAGUCACACAACCUGCGGCGCGGGCCCCGCCCCCCGCCCGGCCGCCCCUCCCCCGCCGGGGUCCGGUCUCUGCCCGGCGACCCUCGAGCUGCGGCCCUUGCGCAGGCGCAGAGCGCCACCUGGCGGCCACGGGUGGCCCGAGUUGGGGUCUCCGGGAGCCGGCAGCCUGAACCGGAGUCACCAAGAGCUGUAGCAGGGGUCCUUUCCUCCAGGAGGUGGACUCUCCCAGAAGCAGGGGCCUUGUUUUGUCACUGCUGUGUCCCCAGGGCUGGGCUGACGCACGGUAGAUGCUCCUUAAGUGUUUCUUGAAAGGAGAGAUGGAUGGCAGGAAAUUACAGACCCAGCAAACUGUCAAAGGUCACGCAGCUUAGUUGGCCACAAGAAAUCACUUCUUAGACUGUAUCCACUGAAUUUAGAAUAAAAGCCAAACUGUGCAAUA